UAUGCCCACUUGAACUCCCACGUGACAACCCACACGUGCAACUCUGCAAAAUAUCUUGGCUCCCAAAUAGCUAUAUCAAUCAACUUGUAACAGAUGACAUUAUUAGCCUCAACAAUCGACUUUAGCCCCAAAUCAACCUCCUCCUUAGGCAAACAAACAUCUGUCCAAGCCAGCUUAUUCUUCUUUGCAUUUAGUUUCGGACUAGACCAUAGAAUAGCAGCACAAAGCCUGUCUAACUCCUUAGUACACGCACUUGGUAACCAAAAAGCCGAUAUCUAAAAAUUAGUGAUACUAGCAAUGACAGAGCGUAAAAUCUGCAGCCUCCCUGCAAAAGAUAGAAACCAAUGCUGCCAGCAACUCAUUGUUUUGCGGAGUUUUUCAAACAAAGGGAGACAAUCAUGCAUCAAUCUCCCAAGCUUUUUAACUACUUGAACCAAUGAGCACCUGAGUGAUGUAGCAAACGAGGAUUAAGCGCACAUGUGGGCGAAUUGGGAUAAGGUUUUGGAAGUUGCAGGUGCGUGAAGAGCGAAUAAAAAGUUGGCAAGUUGCAGGUUUGUCAACAUAACGACAAAGGAAAAAUUAUUUAACACUAAUUGUUAACAAGUUAGUAUAAGAGCACUGUUAGCUCAAACUUUCUCUUUAAUUCAUUUUCAAAACUUGUAUUCUUUCUAGAACUUUCUAGAGUUAUCCAUUUCCUCAUCGUUAGGAGAAUCUCUUCCGAGACUCUUGCAGAUUCACGUUAUCAUUGGUAUCAGAGCUACCGGUCCUCGGAAACGAUGGUCGAAACGCGAUCACAGAUGAACAAGAUUGGCAAAGUGGGUGAUGGAACAUCAGCAGUGGUUGGUGAACCAUGAGCGACGAAGGAUCCAUGGUUGAUUCAAGUUCUCAAUCGUACAAAAGUUUUGGAGUUUGCAAUUUUGGAACAACAAAAAAAAAACUCGAUCGGAGGAUGGGCGGAGAUGUUUGAAAUGUUGGGGUUAAAUCCAGGACAAUCGCGUGGUGAGAAGAGUCCCUUGGCUGUGUCAGCAACACCAGAUUCAUUUGGAGGUUUCUCUGAUCAAUAGCGGUGUGGUGGAUCUGCUUUUCCUGGCCAUUACUCUGGAGUUGGUCUUGGUAGGUUUGACUUUCCCCAUUUUGAUGUUGAGCGAAUCACGGAGUGGUUUGGUAAGGUUGAGGAUUUCUUUUCUCUGGAUGGUACCCCUCAUGAAUCUAAAUUUAACAUGGUUGUUAUGCAUUUUGAUAGUCAUGCUACUACAUGGCAUCAUUCGUUGGUUCAAACUCCUUUUGGAAGAAAUUUGUUACGUUAUUAGGUUUCUUAUAAGCUAUUGUUGAAGGAACGUUUUGAGGAUGUAUUGGAUGAUCCUAUUGCUGAACUCAAGCAGCAGCAGGAAACAGAUGGAAUCAUUGAUUACCACCAAAAGUUUGAGUUUAUCAAAAUAUGGGUGACUUUAUCUGAACAGUAUUUGGUUAGUGCAUACCUUGCUGGACUCCAUUUGGAUACACAAAUGCAGAUCCGUAUGUUUCAAACUUUCAAUGCCAAUCUAUGCGUCAUUGUUUGGUAUUGGGACGCCUGUAUGAGAAGGCUCACCCCCAACAGAAAGGCACCUGCUAACAGGAGGUUCUUGUCUCAAGAAGAAAUGAGCGCUACGCUAUAGGGCUAUGUUUGAUUUGUGAUGAAAAGUAUAUUCCAGAUCACUAUCUCAAGCACAAGAAGUCGCAGGUGUUUAUGAUUGAAGUAGAGGAUGAGAAUGGUGAACUAGAUGCAAAGGGAGUUCAAUCUUGUGAUUAGGAAGAACGAGACAUGCCACAUGUAUCAAUUAGUGCUGUAGCAGGAAUUUCUGAUUACAACACCAUGAAGGUUAGAGGGGUGCAUUGGAGGAAAUUUCUGUUUAUUUUGUUGGAUUCAGGGUCAACCCAUAACUUUAUGGAUCCUCUCAUGGCUAAGAUGCUAGGCACUUAAGUGCAAUCUGUAGGAGUUACCAGGGUGGCAGUUGAUAAUGGCAGCAAAUUGGGAGUGCAAGGAAAGGUCUCUCAGUUUAAUUGGUCAUUUCAUGGCACACCAUUUCAGGAUGACUUCAUGUUGAUACCCUUGGGGGGCUGUGACUGGUUUUGGGGGGUUCAAUGGUAGCUCCAUUAGGCAAUAUGACUUGGAAUUUGCAGAAUUUGGAAAUGAGUUUCUGGUGGAGGAAACAGAAAGUGUUACUCCAUGGCAUCAAACAAGGGGCAGUACGAACGAUAAAGGCUUCCAAAUUUAACAAGGUUGAAGAAGAGGUGGUUCAAAUUUCCAUGAUUUAUGCUCAGGAGGAGAUUAUGUUGUGUGAUGAGGAGAUGAGCCAACGUGACGACGCCAAUAAUUCUGCUAUUUUACAGUUAUAGUAGAACUUCUAUAAAUAAGCGCUUUAUAAAUUAAUAUUCGUUAUAAAUUAAUAAAUUUUUCCAGUCCUGAAUUGGACCAGUAUAAA